rnacentral:rRNA from 1 species
AGAAGAUAAAAUGGAUUAGCGGCGGACGGGUGAGUAACACGUGAGAAACCUGCCUUUCACAAGGGGAUAGCCUCGGGAAACCGGGAUUAAUACCCUAUGACACAUUUCCUUCGCAUGGAAGAAAUGUUAAAACUCCGGUGGUGAAAGAUGGUCUCGCGCCUGAUUAGCUAGUUGGUGGGGUAACGGCCCACCAAGGCCAUGAUCAGUAACCGGCCUGAGAGGGUGAACGGUCACAUUGGAACUGAGACACGGUCCAAACUCCUACGGGAGGCAGCAGUGGGGAAUAUUGCACAAUGGAGGAAACUCUGAUGCAGCGACGCCGCGUGAGCGAUGAAGGCUUUCGAGUCGUAAAGCUCUGUCCUAUGGGAAGAUAAUGACGGUACCAUAGGAGGAAGCCCCGGCUAACUACGUGCCAGCAGCCGCGGUAAUACGUAGGGGGCGAGCGUUGUCCGGAAUCACUGGGCGUAAAGGGUUCGCAGGCGGUUUACCAAGUCCGAUGUGAAAGGCAUGGGCUCAACCCAUGUAAGCAUUGGAAACUGGUAGACUUGAGUUAAGGAGAGGUAAGUGGAAUUCCUAGUGUAGCGGUGAAAUGCGUAGAUAUUAGGAAGAAUACCGGUGGCGAAGGCGACUUACUGGACUUAAACUGACGCUGAGGAACGAAAGCGUGGGGAGCAAACAGGAUUAGAUACCCUGGUAGUCCACGCUGUAAACGAUGAGUGCUAGGUGUCGGGGCAACUCGGUGCCGCCCAGUUAACACAUUAAGCACUCCGCCUGGGGAGUACGUGCG